rnacentral:rRNA from 1 species
ACGCUCGACACCUACUGGAGGCAGCAGUGAGGGAUAUUGGUCAAUGGGGGAAACCCUGAACCAGCAACGCCGCGUGAGGGAUGACGGUCUUCGGAUUGUAAACCUCUGUCCUCUGUGAAGAUAAUGACGGUAGCAGAGGAGGAAGCUCCGGCUAACUACGUGCUAGCAGCCGCGGUAAUCUGAGCGGGCUGGCAAGGC